CAGCCGCCGCGGUAAUACGUAGGGUGCAAGCGUUAAUCGGAAUUACUGGGCGUAAAGCGUGCGCAGGCGGUUUGUUAAGACAGAUGUGAAAUCCCCGGGCUCAACCUGGGAACUGCAUUUGUGACUGGCAAGCUAGAGUCUGGCAGAGGGGGGUGGAAUUCCGCGUGUAGCAGUGAAAUGCGUAGAUAUGCGGAGGAACACCGAUGGCGAAGGCAGCCCCCUGGGCCAACACUGACGCUCAUGCACGAAAGCGUGGGGAGCAAACAGGAUUAGAUACCCGAGUAGUCCCUGUCUCUUAUAA
rnacentral:rRNA from 1 species